UACGUAGGGUGCAAGCGUUGUCCGGAAUUACUGGGCGUAAAGAGCUCGUAGGUGGUUUGUCGCGUCGUCUGUGAAAUCCCGGGGCUUAACUUUGGGCGUGCAGGCGAUACGGGCAUAACUUGAGUGCUGUAGGGGAGACUGGAAUUCCUGGUGUAGCGGUGAAAUGUGCAGAUAUCAGGAGGAACACCGAUGGCGAAGGCAGGUCUCUGGGCAGUUACUGACGCUGAGGAGCGAAAGCAUGGGUAGCGAACAGGAUUAGA
rnacentral:rRNA from 1 species